rnacentral:rRNA from 1 species
UGAAUACGAAAUGCUACGGCAUUGAAGUGAUCUAUGCCAUGCUUCCAAGAAAAUCUCGUCAUAUCUUAAACAAUAGAUGCCUGUACCUUAAACCGACACAGGUAGGUAGGUAGAGUAUACCAAGGGGCGCGAGAUAACUCUCUCUAAGGAACUCGGCAAAAUAACCUCGUAACUUCGGAAGAAGAGGUACCCUUGAAAAAGGGUUGCAAUAACCAGACCCUGGCGACUGUUUACCAAAAACACAGGUCUCCGCUAAUUCGUAAGAUCAAGUAUGGAGGCUGACGCCUGCCCAGUGCCGGAAGGUUAAAGAAGUUGGUCAAUCUUUGGAUGAAGCUGGCGACUGAAGCCCCGGUGAACGGCGGCCGUAACUAUAACGGUCCUAAGGUAGCGAAGUUCCUUGUCGGGUAAGUUCCGACCCGCACGAAAGGCGUAACGAUCAGGGUGCUGUCUCGGAGAGAGACUCGGCGAAAUAGACAUGUCUGUGAAGAUGCGGACUACCUGCACCUGGACAGAAAGACCCUAUGAAGCUUUACUGUAUCUUGGAAUUGGGUUUGGGCCUUGCUUGCGCAGGAUAGGUGGGAGGCUAUGAAAAUAUUCUUGCGGGAAUGUUGGAGCCAACGGUGAGAUACCACUCUAGUAAGGCUAAAAUUCUAACUCUGAACCGUUAUCCGGUCAGAGAACAGUUUCAGGUGGGCAGUUUGACUGGGGCGGUCGCCUCCUAUAAGGUAACGGAGGCGCGCAAAGGUUCCCUCAGGCUGGUUGGACAUCAGUCGUAGAGUGUAAAGGCAUAAGGGAGCUUGACUGCGAGACCCACAAGUCGAGCAGAGACGAAAGUCGGCCUUAGUGAUCCGACGGUUCCACGUGGAAGGGCCGUCGCUCAACGGAUAAAAGUUACUCUAGGAUAACAGGCUGAUCUCCCCCAAGAGUUCACAUCGACGGGGAGGUUUGGCACCUCGAUGUCGGCUCAUCGCAUCCUGGGGCGGUAGUACGUCCCAAGGGUUGGGCUGUUCGCCCAUGAAAGCGGUACGCGAGCUGGGUUCAGAACGUCGUGAGACAGUUCGGUCCAUAUCCGGUGCAGGCGUUAGAGCAUUGAAAGGAGUUCCCCUUAGUACGAGAGGACCGGGGGGAAUACACCGCUGGUGUACCAGUUAUCGUGCCAACGGUAAACGCUGGGUAGCCAUGUGUAGCGUGGAUAACUGCUGAAAGCAUCUAAGUAGGAAGCCCACCUUAAGAUGAGUGCUCUCACCGCUAUAAGCGGGUAAGGUCACGGUAAGAACAACCGUUAUAUAGGCAUUAAGUAUACGUGCAGUAAUGCAUUUAGCUAAGAUGUACUAACAGACCGAGGGCUUGAUC